rnacentral:rRNA from 1 species
UACGUAGGGUGCGAGCGUUAAUCGGAAUUACUGGGCGUAAAGGGCGCGUAGGCUGCCUUCUAAGUCGAACGUGAAAUCCCCGGGCUCAACCCGGGAACUGCGUCCGAUACUGGAAGGCUUGAAUCCGGGAGAGGGAUGUGGAAUUCCAGGUGUAGCGGUGAAAUGCGUAGAUAUCAGGAAGAACACCCGUGGCGAAGGCGGCUCUCUGGGACGGUACUGACGCUGAGACGCGAAAGCGUGGGGAGCGAACAGG